rnacentral:rRNA from 1 species
AUUGAACGCUGGCGGCAGGCCUAACACAUGCAAGUCGAACGAGUGGCGGACGGGUGAGUAAUGUUUGGGAAACUGCCUGAGGGAGGGGGUUAACUACUGAAAACGGUGGCUAAUCCCGCAUACCAUCAGAGGUGCCCGGAUGGGAUUAGCUAGUUGGUGGGGUAACGGCUCACCAAGUCGACGAUCCCUAGCUGGUCUGAGAGGAUGACGAGCCACACUGGAACUGAGACACGGUCCAGACUCCUACGGGAGGCAGCAGUGGGGAAUAUUGCACAAUGGGCGCAAGCCUGAUGCAGCCAUGCCGCGUGUAUGAAGAAGGCCUUCGGGUUGUAAAGUACUUUCAGCGGGGAGGCGUUACCCGCAGAAGAAGCACCGGCUAACUCCGUGCCAGCAGCCGCGGUAAUUC